GACCAGGUUACAUCAGUAGUCAAAGUAGGUUGUAUUAUAAGAGGGGACCCCUGAGUUUAAGGAACUCAAACAUUUUAUAAUGGGGAAUAAUUAUGCCAUCUAUAACUCCUGAGGGAGCUACUAUCACUGUCUUUCAAGGUACUUAUUUCUAUGAACAUCCUGGAAAAGAAAGCUCAGGACAAAGUCAGUCGAUGCCUCUGCUCACAGGAUCUGCAGAAACACAAGAGACCCAUGGAUAGAUAUCUCCCUGGGAAGUACCUAAUCCUUGAAAAAGGAGGAAUGUUGAUUUAUUGGUGAAGUACAGAGGAUUGCAAGGGGCUCUGGAGUCAGACAUCACCAGUCCACUUAAAGCACUUAGCCUAGUGCCUACCCCACACAUGACAGGUGGCCUAUAAAUCAGGACACAGACACACAAAGGGAAGAUCAUAUAAAGACACUGGAAAGAGAUGGCGAUCCAUCUACAAGCCAAGGAGAGCAGCUUAGAAAAAACAAUGCUGCCAGCACCUUGAUCUUGAGCUACCAGCCUCCAUAAGUGUGAAAAAAAUAAAUUUCUAUUGUUUAA